rnacentral:lncRNA from 1 species
CAGACUGAAUUUAGCCUUGAUGCCCUCCUCCGAGCUGCUGUUAACAGGUGGAAAGGCUGCGUCAUUUAUGAGGGUGAUCUGAACCGCUCGGAGCUCGUCGUUCAGAAGGUGCAAGGCAGAGGCGGCGAGAAGAUUUAUUUGAAAACCAGUUGUGAUAUAUCCCCAAAUCCACACCAAAAGAAAAGGGAGCGAUUUCUUAAGGAAAAAGGCCAGGGAUUCUUCGGUGGUCUGCCCGGGUGCGAAAAGCAAGGAGCCGAGAUCCCUACCCGUAGGUGGAGAUGGUCCUCAUCAGAUAUGCAGGGCGGAAGAUUUCCCUUUGUAGCAGUUAAAUUGGUAAGUUAGCCACUCUCCUCGUUAUUUGUUAUUGCUAUUUAUAUUAAAAAUGUA